AUUGAACGCUGGCGGCAGGCCUAACACAUGCAAGUCGAACGAGUGGCGGACGGGUGAAUAAUGUCGGGGAAACUGCCUGAUGGAGGGGGAUACCUACUGGAAACGGUAUCACAUCGCGCAUACCCUCGUAUGUGCCCAGAUGGGUUUAGCGAGUAGGUGGGGUAAAGGCUCACAUAGGCGACGAUCCCUAGCUGGGCUGAGCGGAUGACCAGCCAAACUGUGACCGAGACAGGGCCCAGACUCCUACGGGAGGCAGAAGUGGGGAAUAUUGCACAAUGGGCGCAAGCCUGAUGCAGCCAUGCCGCGUGUAUGAAGAAGGCCCUAGGGUUGUAAAGUACUUUCAGCCGGGAGGCGUUACCGGCAGAAGAAGCACCGGCUAACUCCGUGCCAGCAGCCGCGGUAAUAC
rnacentral:rRNA from 1 species